UGUUUGAGAAAACCUUCUGGAGGGAAGAAGUACACUAGGAAAACAACAGAGGAGCAAGUCCAGAUUUGGAGAUAAUAUGGAAUCAGCUGAAGCAGUUACGAUGGAGGCCUGGUGAGCAACUGUUUAAAAACAUAACCUAAUAAAUUGUAUAAAAAUAUGUGAAGAAGCAAUUUAUUAGAUCCUUAAUAUCAUCAAAAGUUGUAUGGGUGUACAUGUUUUCUACCUUGUUUAACUGAGAUAACUAUUCAUAACAAUCUUUGCUGUUUGUCUUCCAUAGGUAGCACAGAAGAAUAAGUAACAAUUCUGGAUACUGUUAAUUGUAUCAUGCUUAGUGCUUGCUUGCUUGCUUUUAUUUUGCUUUAUUAUCAUACAUGCAUAGAUGUGUGGAAAAAUAUAGCCUCCUUUUUUUAGAACAGUUGCUAUUACUGAAGCUCAAAUAAGAGAAAAGAAUUAACAAACUGUGGUGACAAGGAAAAAGUUGAUCCAUUUUAAAGUGAUAACCGUCUCCAAAUAAGAGAAAUCUAGUUUCCUUUGAUGAGUAUGGGCAUAACUCCUGUUAUUGACAGUGAUCCCAACUGACAAAGACCUGUAUAUGUGAAACAGGAAACACAGGGCUGAAAAACAUAGUAUUUUGAAAUACUACGAGAAGCAAAGAUGAAAAAAUAAAGUGUAGAAAAUUUUAGUAGGGUGAGUUAUAUUUCAAAAAUAUAUACACUUAGUGUAGCUUUGCACAGUUUUUCGUUUAAUUUAGAGCACCUAUGUAUAAACUGAUGGUGCUGGGAUAGGUAGAAAACUAAAAGUCCCCAGUGAUGGAGAUAUCAAAUAAUUGCAUACAUGGAUGAUACAUGUAGUGUGUUGAUGAAAAAAUUUAUUUUGUUAUGGAGGAGAUGAGGAGGUGACUUUAGACACUGCCAGCAGGUUUCCUAGGAUGAGAGCUGCACAGUGAUCCUGUCAAGCAGCCCAAAAAGGUGGAGUGCUCCUAGCUGCCUCUCUGGAGGGACACCAGCAAGCAAGAAGCACUUACACAUGCAAAUUGCUUACAGAAAGAUAAUCAGUUAAGAACUGGGUCUAGCCAGAGGUGAAUAGGAAAUAUACUCUUUGGUUUCCAGUGGGAAUGUAAUCACUUAUACAGGAUCUAGCUGUGUUUGUGUGUAUCUCCAGAAUCCAGAAAUCACCUCUGCAUGUCUAAGCUGUCUGGUAAUGCAUGACUGUUUAAUGUAACUUCAAUUUAAAUGCAUGAUUUUAAUGACACAAUAGUUUUAGAAGUGGACUAAAAUUGCUAGAAACUUUUUAGCUGUGUAUUGAACAAAGAAACUUUCGAACUGUGUAUGUUUGGGCUAGGUUUUGAUCAGUUGUUGCAGAUUAAAGCAUCUACCUGCAACUUCUGUAGUCUCACAGGUACCAAAGCAAGGUUUGCAGUAUGUCACAAAAAUGAGCAAGUUGCUCUUACUAAAAAAAAAAAAAAGCAAUAAAAUAUGCUGGCCAUCAUCCUUGGUGUAAAUCCUUCCUUGUUGGCACUGCCAUCACCUACUGGUGUUUUUAACUAGGCCGUCAAGUCUAGAAGUGUAAUCCUGGGAAUUGCAAGAAUUCGUUAAAUUGUGAAAACUAUUAAACUGGCUGUAAAAAAAAAUAUGUAAACCAAGCAGCAGCCAUGCACCGAAGUCAAGAGCCACAGGCCACCCUCAGACCCACACGAGGCAAGACCAGGUAGGAAAGAGCAAAUGCCUCCAAGAAGAUCAGCUGCUCGGUCCUGAUGAGGAGCCUUGAGCCACAGGAGGGUUUGCAAUGUCCUUGCUGGACUCGUGUGUGAUGGCUCACACCCAUGGGGUGGCAGAGGGGGUCUGUUCACCCCAUGAACAGCACAUGAAACACAGCCUGGCCACUGCCAGAAACACCUCAGGCCAUUUACUAAUGCUGCAAAACCUGAGAGAGAGGUCUGUGAACCUUGCUUUGGUUGGGACAUGCAGGGACCCAGCAGCCCCAGUGCUAUGAACUACUCCUCCCAGGCAGCUGCUGCAUCAACAGGAACGCGACCUCGGGGCUGGGAAACAUGGCUCACAACAGCCAGGAGGGCCAGGAGCAGCUCUGCAAGGUGUGCACAGCUCUGCCUGGGUCAGUGCAAUGCACCCAGCUCUGACGGCCGAGGGGCACUGCGAGGGGAGCCUUAAAGACAUGGUAGAAGCAGCUCCAGGUGGACUCCAGCAGAGGAGGAGGCAGAAUCACCAUGAUCAUCUUCCCACCAUUGUCACUGUGCUGCUGGAACAAAGGACUUGAUGGGCCCAUGACACCUGCAGCUGUCCCCCUUCUCCUGGGGACAGACAGCACCUCUGAAUCUGGUACCCUGGGAGUGGAGGGCUGAGCAAAGCCCGGGGAAAGCUGCAGCAGUAAAGUGCUCUUAUGUGUUAGUUUUGACCCUUUCUCUCUAACACUCUAGGUGAUAUUGUUUAUCAUUUUUAGCAUCAUUGUAAUUGAUGACUCCAUGUUCUCUCUGAGCACACUUUUUAAAGUAAAAUUUUUAAGUAGACUAACAAUAAAUUAAACGUCUUCUCAUA